rnacentral:misc_RNA from 1 species
GAUGAAGAACGCAGCGAAAUGCGAUAAGUAAUGUGAAUUGCAGAAUUCAGUGAAUCAUCGAAUCUUUGAACGCACAUUGCGCCCUCUGGUAUUCCGGGGGGCAUGCCUGUUCGAGCGUCAUUACAACCCUCAAGCUCAGCUUGGUGUUGGGCCCCGCCGCCCCGGCGGGCCCUAAAGUCAGUGGCGGUGCCGUCCGGCUCCGAGCGUAGUAAUUCUUCUCGCUCUGGAGGUCCGGUCGUGUGCUCGCCAGCAACCCCCAAUUUUUUUCAGGUUGACCUCGGAUCAGGUAGGGAUACCCGCUGAACUUAAGCAUAUCAAUAAGCGGAGGA